GACGAACGCUGGCGGCGUGCCUAAUACAUGCAAGUAGAACGCACAGUUUAUACCGUAGCUUGCUACACCAUACACUGUGAGUUGCGAACGGGUGAGUAACGCGUAGGUAACCUGCCUGGUAGCGGGGGAUAACUAUUGGAAACGAUAGCUAAUACCGCAUCAUAUUGAUUAUUGCAUGAUAAUUGAUUGAAAGAUGCUAUUGCAUCACUACCAGAUGGACCUGCGUUGUAUUAGCUAGUAGGUGAGGUAACGGCUCACCUAGGCGACGAUACAUAGCCGACCUGAGAGGGUGAUCGGCCACACUGGGACUGGGACACGGCCCAGACUCCUACGGGAGGCAGCAGUAGGGAAUCUUCGGAAAUGGACGAAAGGCUGACCGAGCAACGCCGCGUGAGUGAAGAAGGUUUUCGGAUCGUAAAGCUCUGUUGUAAGAGAAGAACGGGUGUGAGAGUGGAAAGUUCACACUGUGACGGUAUCUUACCAGAAAGGGACGGCUAACUACGUG
rnacentral:rRNA from 1 species